GAUUUUGUUUCUUCGGUUUUGAUUGCCUGAGGUUUGAUCGGUCCAGUUCUAACAGGCUUUGUUGCUGCAGGAGGUGCGGGGGCAGGCUUCUCCUCUGCUUUGUCCUGGCAGACUCCUGAAGAGUCAGCAAUCGCCUCGGAGGGUUUGCUCCCGUUCUCAUCCACUUUUUGCGCUUUGCCUCCUAUCGGUUUGCUCUGCUGCUGCUCAGAAAAGAAUCUCUGGGUGGACUGAAGUACCUCUGCUCUCUGCUUUGCCUGUGGUGCAAACUGUGCAGGAAAUGGCUGGGUCAUUCUCACAGCAGCAGCUGCUGACUGGAACUGCUUCUGGUAGACAAUGCUGUUCAUUUUAUUGGACUGAUUGUUAGGACUUGUAGAACUGGCCCGGAAGGGACUGGAUGUUGGAGUAGUACUUCUGCCAGACACCGGUGGUGUUCCAGGUUUAACAUCAAUACCACCUCCAAAUGCCUUCAGUUCCAUUUCUGAUAUCUUUCCAGUCGCAGCUAUCAUGCUGUGCUGAGUUCCUGCUGGGAUUAAUCCUCUGAAAGGCUGGGUUACUUGUGCAGGUCUGC
rnacentral:lncRNA from 1 species